GUAACGAUUAUUUGUAUCAGAACAGGUAAUGCUAGAUGCAAAAGGGUGUUGUUUCGGUUCCAACGGCAGGUCACCCCACCGAAGGAGAACAAGAAGUACGUAUAGAGAUAAGGAUUCAGACAUGCAGUGCGUGCAGGCUCUUGCGAGCCUUACCGCGUGAAACGGCCGCUACUGCACCCGCCAUGUGCGCUCUUGACAGGACUGAACGAGCAGCCUGCCUCGAGCCACAGAGGUUGCUAUCACGAAUGAUAAUGAUCCUUCCGCAGGUUCACCUACGGAAA
rnacentral:misc_RNA from 1 species